rnacentral:rRNA from 1 species
UGGGGAAUUUUGGACAAUGGGCGAAAGCCUGAUCCAGCAAUGCCGCGUGUGUGAAGAAGGCCUUCGGGUUGUAAAGCACUUUUGUCCGGAAAGAAAUCCUUGGCUCUAAUACAGUCGGGGGAUGACGGUACCGGAAGAAUAAGCACCGGCUAACUACGUGCCAGCAGCCGCGGUAAUACGUAGGGUGCAAGCGUUAAUCGGAAUUACUGGGCGUAAAGCGUGCGCAGGCGGUUUGCUAAGACCGAUGUGAAAUCCCCGGGCUCAACCUGGGAACUGCAUUGGUGACUGGCAGGCUAGAGUAUGGCAGAGGGGGGUAGAAUUCCACGUGUAGCAGUGAAAUGCGUAGAGAUGUGGAGGAAUACCGAUGGCGAAGGCAGCCCCCUGGGCCAAUACUGACGCUCAUGCACGAAAGCGUGGGGGAGCAAACAGGAUUAGAUACCCUGGUAGUCCAGCGCCCUAAACGAUGUCAACUAGUUGUUGGGGAUUCAUUUCCUUAGUAACGUAGCUAACGCGUGAAGUUGACCGCCUGGGGAGUACGGUCGCAAGAUUAAAACUCAAAUGAAUUG